UUUUUAGCCAUGAAGUAGAAAUGAAAAAUGAAAAUGAUUGCUUCAAGAUUCUGCAAGAUGUUUUGCUGUAAUUGUAUACCAGGCUUAAUAACGGUCGAGUCUGACAUCCACGUUCCAACAUUCUGUUGGAAUUAAUUGAGGUGGAGAGGACCUAGCAAAGCCGGGGUUACACAUCAAAAUGGAACAGAAGAAAGCUUAAUUUCAACUCAAGAAACUGGAGAAUU
rnacentral:lncRNA from 1 species